CCUACGGGGGGCAGCAGUGAGGAAUAUUGGUCAAUGGCCGAGAGGCUGAACCAGCCAAGUAGCGUGCAGGAUGACGGCCCUCGUGGUUGUAAACUGCUUUUAGUCGGGAAUAAAAGGGGGUUCGUGAAUCCCGUAUUGUAUGUACCGUCAGAAAAAGCAUCGGCUAACUCCGUGCCAGCAGCCGCGGUAAUACGGAGGAUGCGAGCGUUAUCCGGAUUUAUUGGGUUUAAAGGGUGCGUAGGCGGGCUUUUAAGUCAGCGGUAAAAAUUCGGGGCUCAACCCCGUCCGGCCGUUGAUACUGGGGG
rnacentral:rRNA from 1 species